rnacentral:rRNA from 1 species
UACGGGGGGGGCAAGCGUUGUUCGGAAUUACUGGGCGUAAAGGGCUUGUAGGUGGCCAACUAAGUCAGACGUGAAAUCCCUCGGCUUAACCGGGGAACUGCGUCUGAUACUGGAUGGCUUGAGUGUGGGAGAGGAAUGCGGAAUUCCAGGUGUAGCGGUGAAAUGCGUAGAUAUCUGGAGGAACACCGGUGGCGAAGGCGGCAUCCUGGACCAUUACUGACACUGAAAAGCGAAAGCCAGGGGAGCAAACGGG